rnacentral:rRNA from 1 species
AGCGUAUAUUAAAGUUGUUGCAGUUAAAAAGCUCGUAGUUGAAUUUCGGGAUCAAUACGUCGGUCGUGCUUCGGUACGUACUGGCGUCAUUGAUUUCUCCCUUCUGACGAACCAUGAUGUCAUUAACUUGGUGUCAUGGGAAAUCAGGACUGUUACUUUGAAAAAAUUAGAGUGUUUAAAGCAGGCUCACGCUUGAAUACAUUAGCAUGGAAUAAUGAAAUAGGACGUUCGAUCCUAUUUUGUUGGUUUUUAGGAUCAACGUAAUGAUUAAUAGGGAUAGUUGGGGGCAUUAGUAUUCAAUUGUCAGAGGUGAAAUUCUUGGAUUUAUUGAAGACUAACUACUGCGAAAGCAUUUGCCAAGGAUGUUUUCAUUAAUCAAGAACGAAAGUUAGGGGAUCGAAGACGAUCAGAUACCGUCGUAGUCUUAACCAUAAACUAUGCCGACUAGGGAUCGGAUGAUGUUAAUUUUUUAAUGACUCAUUC